GACAAGAAAUAACAAUACGGGGCUUAAAGUCUUGUAAUUGGAAUGAUGGGAAUUUAAACCUCUUCCAGAGUAUCAAUUGGAGGGCAAGUCUGGUGCCAGCAGCCGCGGUAAUUCCAGCUCCAAUAGCGUAUAUUAAAAUUGUUGCAGUUAAAAAGCUCGUAGUUGAAUUUCUGCUGCAUUGCUUGUGUCCCUCUGGGGUCUGUGCAUGUGGCUUUUUUCGGACGGAGUUUCUUUGUCUGAAUGUUUACUUUGAGAAAAUUAGAGUGCUCAAAGCAGGCUUUCGCCUUGAAUAGUUUAGCAUGGAAUAAUAAAGUAGGACUUUGGUUCUAUUUUGUUGGUUUUAGGUACCAAAGUAAUGGUUAAUAGGAACAGUUGGGGGCAUUCGUAUUUAACUGUCAGAGGUGAAAUUCUUAG
rnacentral:rRNA from 1 species